CGACGCUAGGCUAAGCCCUGCUAUGGGUGUGUCCGUGGGCAGGAUGCACCGAGGAGCCCAACGCAACCGCUUCGAACCCUCGCGAGCCCGAGCCGGCACCAAAUCACCAUCACCCGGCUUUCCUAAAGCCCAAAAGGAAUUGCCUGGUGGAACGGGUUGGUCCAAUGAACUAUGAUAAUCCAGGAUUUCUUCUUUUUUUUUUCUUAAAAAAUAAGGACAACAAAUCAUAAUAGUGAUUUGUGGCUUGUUUCUACCUAUGGCAUUGGUGAGCAGGACAUUGAGUGUCCACUGGGCCCAACAGUCUGAAAGUAAAAGGUUCCUGUACCCCAUUCCCAACCCUGAGCCCACGAGGACACGGCUCUGCAAGUUAUAAAACUCAGCAAAGGAAGAACAGUGCACCUAAAUUCUUGGACCACAUAGGAAUGAACCAGAAGGCGAGCAGAAAACCAGUGCAGAUGAGUGCAGAGGAUAUCAGAAAAGCAUUUGCCUCCAGACAGAGUGGGAUAUUGAUGUGUAGAGUCAUACAGCAGCACAUACUGGACAGGAAGCAUCCAAAACACGUCGGAAAUUGGGUGAUGGAAAGGGAGAAAGCUGUCAAUAAAAUCAAGCAGCGUGGCAAAGAGAGGAGGAAGGAGAAGGCUAGUAGGGCAGCUAGCACAGAAGCCACUGGUGUUUACCUUGCACUGUGUAUUAAUGACCUUGAGAGUGGUGCCAUUAUCUAGUGAUGCCAAAUUGUAGGAGGCACAGAACAAAUUAAUUACAAAUGGGAGAUUAGGCUUACGGUCUGAUAAGCAGCUCAUGGAGUUCAAUGAAAAGAAGUUUUAAUGAGAUUAAGUGACAAAGCCAUCACUUAGAAGGAAGCAUUAAACAGACUACAGACAAGGAGAAAGAACUGGGGGCGAAGGCAGAGAACUAUUAAAACCAUCUGUGUUAUUAAAAGAAGAGUAAACAAGGCCUGUGCUUCUCAGGGAGAAAUGGAGAUAAUAGUAAAUUGUGCUGGCACUGCUGGUGGAAACUCCUCCCUUGAACGUAUCAUAUGCAGCAUCAGAGUCAGACUCAGGGGGAUAUGGAUGGAGUGCAGCAAGGGUAUCCCAGCACACAUUUGGGACCAAAACAAGAAGCAAAGUACUGGCUGCCCUGAAUUACUGCAAGGAAGAGGCCCAAGGGGAGAUCCAGGAGGUCUGGUGUUACUGGGCGACAGCAACGUGUUGGAGCUGGACUUGAUGGAGAAGACUUUGGCCCACUUCAAAAACACAUGCAGCAGGUUAUUGGAUGGUAGGAACCAAGGACAGAAACAGGCUAGCAGUUAGUAUGUCAGGCCAAGAAGGGCAGCUCUUAAGUAAUAACAGCUACUGCUAAUGAUGAAUAAUUAAAGCAGACCUCUGGCCCUAGUUCCGUUCCUUUAAUGUCAGCAGAAGCAUCGUUUAUAGUAUGCAACAGGAGGAAUCAUGUGCUCGCACAGAUUGGCUGUGCUUCAUCUCCCACCAAACCCACCGCAUCCUUCUCCACGAGCUGGAUUUAGAGCUGAGUUCAAAUAUUAUAGGAAUGGGAGCAGCUUUGAAUCAGACUGAUGAGAGACCUGGGCUGUAAAGGCAGCCCCAUCUUACCAUGCAGCAAAUGUGCAAGGGCAGGGACCGGAGGGAACAUCGCCUGUUCACAUUACCUACCACGAGCCAAAACAUUUACUGAAGAGGAGGAGAGAAACAUCUCAUCUUUCAACAGAGGUGGGCAGACUUCUGUAUGUCUGUUUUAUAAAGCGAAUAUUAGACACGUUUCCUCAUCUUUCCUCUUCGCGAUGGGACAGGUGCAGUUGGAGUACAUGGAGCUGACUGACAUUGCCAGGCAUGCCGUGACUCACCAGCACAGAUUUUACCAAUUCUCCCUUCUCAAAUGGAUCCAAUUAGGGAAAAGGUUUGGGAACAAAGCAGAGCCAAUCUCAGCCCUCUCACUUGUCUCCCCUCCCUCUCACCUUUCCACCCACCCCCUACCCAAAGGGUAACACCAUGGUGAGAGGAUUGAGGGACUGAAGAAAGGAAUGGGCACCAGGCAAACUAGUGCUGACCCUCAGCCAGCACAAAAUGGUGGAAAUUCCUGGUUUCACGCAUUAAACAAUCCUCCUCAGACUGGAAUUCAUCCUGCAAACUCUCCAAGGAGGGGAUCUUACUGUCUGCUCUUCUCUUGGCUACACAAAAGAUCCUGAUCUUUCCUGAGUCUCCAGGCACUACAAAUAAACUAAGAUCUAAAACAAA